AGUGAACGCUGGCGGUAGGCCUAACACAUGCAAGUCGAACGGCAGCACAGUAAGAGCUUGCUCUUACGGGUGGCGAGUGGCGGACGGGUGAGGAAUACAUCGGAAUCUACUUUUUCGUGGGGGAUCACGUAGGGAAACUUACGCUAAUACCGCAUACGACCUACGGGUGAAAGCAGGGGAUCUUCUGAGCUUGCGCGAUUGAAUGAGCCGAUGUCGGAUUAGCUAGUUGGCGGGGUAAAGGCCCACCAAGGCGACGAUCCGUAGCUGGUCUGAGAGGAUGAUCAGCCACACUGGAACUGAGACACGGUCCAGACUCCUACGGGAGGCAGCAGUGGGGAAUAUUGGACAAUGGGCGCAAGCCUGAUACAGCCAUACCGCGUGGGUGAAGAAGGCCUUCGGGUUGUAAAGCCCUUUUGUUGGGAAAGAAAAGCAGCAGGUUAAUACCCCGCUGUUCUGACGGUACCCAAAGAAUAAGCACCGGCUAACUUCGUG
rnacentral:rRNA from 1 species